ACUAAGAUUUACAUGGACCAGAGCCCAGUCUGUAUCCUGCUGAAGGAAAUUUUUAAAAAUGCUUUGAUGGACUUAACUAUUAAUGAGAAAACUUCACUAACAAACAUUGCAGAACGUGGGGACUAGUGUAGCUGUUACCUCCCUUUCCCCAAGGGAAUAUAAAAGCAGCAAGAAGAAUAGGCAGCUCCAGGUCUUCAUUCGGUCUUCAUUCCCCAUGGAAAGAUUACAAGUAGAGACUGACUAAAGAAAACUUUAUGGGAACUCUGGAAGGCAAAGGUCUACAAGAACCAAACUAAUGCCCAAUCAAGGAAAAGUCACAUUCAAAAUGAAAUAAGAUGGUUCCAGAUACUUGAUUCACCCAGAUGCUUUAAAGACUGUGGACCUAAGUAGGCUUCCAUUGUGACUUCUGGCAGUGACUCUUCUCGUGAAACAACACUCACUGGGUAGGAGUUAAAUGUUCUUAUGGACUUACCAGAAAAUAUUCAUAAAUGUUUAUCUGGUACAUUUUUAAAUGUGUUAAAUACUUUUUCCAUAUAGAUAUGAUUGCUCUUCAUAUCAAUAACUAGAAAUAUUUAACCAGGAAAAGUUGAGCUCACUUAGAGCCACCAAUUUAAUUAAUAGAACUGUUGAAUCCCUGAAAAUAAAACACAGACACAGAUAUAUAUUCAAUCGAAAUAUAUUUGUCUAAUAUCUACAAAGUGUGAACAACUGGUCUUAAGAAAGCAGACAAAAGGCACAAAAUUAGUAUUACUACAGAGAAGCAUUCAUGCUAUUUGGAUUUUAUAAAUAUUGGAGUGGCACAGUAAAAAAUAAAUUAAGCAUUCAG